CUAACGGUAGGCUAGCUAGCUAGCUAACGGAACCGAACCGGACCUGUCAUAUUAGCUAACAGUUGUUAGCUUGGUUGCCGUCACCGGCAUUUCUUUUAUAAAUCACUAGAUAAGUUGUACAGACUAAAGUAACGUUAACAUUAUACCAUCCACAGCGUUAUACUGAUAGCUUUCACAUCUUUUUUGACCGGGAAUAAGGAACAAGCGGAGACGUUUAUACUUCUCCGUUUAGAAAAACAGCAGCUGUUUACCGGGGGAAGGACACCGCGGCCAACGGAUAUCGGUGAGAAGCUACACUAUUGUUUAAUGUUCAGAAGUAAUAGCCGUGUAACCUGCUUUUUAUUCACACAGGCUUAUUUUGGAGAAGAUGGGGAUCGGAGGGUCACCCACACCCAGGCCAAGAAGAAGUGGGACGAUCUGAAGACCAAGUACAAGCCUACCGGGCACAUGUCCCUGAAGAGGAGGUUUAAGGCUGAACAUUUACCACUUCUCAUCAACACUAAAGUCAGUAGGCUGAAAGGAAAGUUUGACCAUGCAAAGACAUUCCAGACUAGCGAGGGAUCUGCAUGCUUGUUGUACUGCUGAGUCAUAGUAAGUACAUUGCUGUCUGCAUGCUUUAUCAUCCUGUUUAAUCACCGUUCAGUUAGUGAAACAUCCUUGAUAUCCUCUCAUUUCCCCUUUAAAUCUCUGUUUAUGUACAUCCAACCCCAGCUGGUUUAUUAGUGAUCAUUCUACAGAUGUCAAAAUGAUUCACAACAUUACACCAUUUGGUGGAUGCUUUAUACAAAGUGACUAACAGUACCAUGAGUGUUUAUAUGUUUAGCAUGGGUUGCCUGGGUGGGCAUCAGGACCUAAAGACUUGAUAUAGUCAUUUAUUAAAUUAUCAUCUGCAGUACAGUGAUUACUUCUCAAGCUUGUGUCUGUGUUUUGUUGGGGAGGAUUCAACCCCUGUCAAUGUCCAUGUGAAGGUUCUGCACAACCAAUACAGCAAUACACCACCUGACAUCCUGACUGUUAAGGACCGAAAGAAGCAAACAUUUCCUCUGAGGCAUCUGGAAAUUGCAGAAGGAAUUGCUUUUAACAACGAGUGGAG
rnacentral:lncRNA from 1 species